rnacentral:piRNA from 1 species
CAAAAGUACGACUGGGGUGUCUGAAAU